GAGUCUGCCUUGAGAUCGGAGUGCUUGCACUCUGUGAAACAAGAUACAGGCUAGCGGCGGACGGGUGAGUAACACGUGGGUAACCUGCCCAAGAGAUCGGGAUAACACCUGGAAACAGAUGCUAAUACCGGAUAACAACAGAUGAUGCCUAUCAACUGUUUAAAAGAUGGUUCUGCUAUCACUCUUGGAUGGACCUGCGGUGCAUUAGCUAGUUGGUAGGGUAACGGCCUACCAAGGCGAUGAUGCAUAGCCGAGUUGAGAGACUGAUCGGCCACAUUGGGACUGAGACACGGCCCAAACUCCUACGGGAGGCAGCAGUAGGGAAUCUUCCACAAUGGACGCAAGUCUGAUGGAGCAACGCCGCGUGAGUGAAGAAGGGUUUCGGCUCGUAAAGCUCUGUUGUUGGUGAAGAAGGACAGGGGUAGUAACUGACCUUUGUUUGACGGUAAUCAAUUAGAAAGUCACGGCUAACUACGUGCCAGCAGCCGCGGUAAUACGUAGGUGGCAAGCGUUGUCCGGAUUUAUUGGGCGUAAAGCGAGUGCAGGCGGCUCGAUAAGUCUGAUGUGAAAGCCUUCGGCUCAACCGGAGAAUUGCAUCAGAAACUGUCGAGCUUGAGUACAGAAGAGGAGAGUGGAACUCCAUGUGUAGCGGUGAAAUGCGUAGAUAUAUGGAAGAACACCGGUGGCGAAGGCGGCUCUCUGGUCUGUUACUGACGCUGAGGCUCGAAAGCAUG
rnacentral:rRNA from 1 species